CGGGUGAGUAAUGCGUGACCAACCUGCCCCAUGCUCCAGAAUAGCUCUUGGAAACGGGUGGUAAUGCUGGAUGCUCCAGCUUGACGCAUGUCUUGUUGGGAAAGUGUUUAGUGGCAUGGGAUGGGGUCGCGUCCUAUCAGCUUGUAGGCGGGGUAAUGGCCCACCUAGGCUUCGACGGGUAGCCGGCCUGAGAGGGCGGACGGCCACAUUGGGACUGAGAUACGGCCCAGACUCCUACGGGAGGCAGCAGGC
rnacentral:rRNA from 1 species